rnacentral:rRNA from 1 species
GGUUCAUUCAAAUUUCUGCCCUAUCAACUUUCGAUGGUAGGAUAGUGGCCUACCAUGGUUUCAACGGGUAACGGGGAAUUAGGGUUCUAUUCCGGAGAAGGAGCCUGAGAAACGGCUACUACAUCCAAGGAAGGCAGCAGGCGCGCAAAUUACCCAAUCCCGACCGGGGAGGUAGUGACAAUAAAUACUGAUACAGGGCUCUUUUGGGUCUUGUAAUUGGAAUGAGUACAAUUUAAAUACCUUAACGAGGAACAAUUGGAGGGCAAGUCUGGUGCCAGCAGCCGCGGUAAUUCCAGCUCCAAUAGCGUAUAUUAAAGUUGUUGCAGUUAAAAAGCUCGUAGUUG